AACGAACGCUGGCGGCAUGGAUUAGGCAUGCAAGUCGAGCGAGAAGUGUAGCAAUACACGGAAAGCGGCGGAAGGGAGAGUAAUACGUGGGAAUCUGCCCUUAGACCUGGGAUAGCAGCGGGAAACUGCUGGUAAUACCAGAUAAUGUCUAUGGACCAAAGUGUGAUUCCGUCUAGGGAUGAGCCCACGUCCUAUUAGCUAGUUGGUAGGGUAAUGGCCUACCAAGGCGAUGAUGGGUAGCGGGUGUGAGAGCAUGACCCGCCUCACUGGGACUGAGACACUGCCCAGACACCUACGGGUGGCUGCAGUCGAGAAUCUUCGGCAAUGGGCGCAAGCCUGACCGAGCGAUGCCGCGUGCGGGAUGAAGGCCUUCGGGUUGUAAACCGCUGUCGAGGGGGAGCAACUUCCAUAGAGUUAUCUUUAUGGAUUGAGUGAUCCCUGGAGGAAGGACGGGCUAAGUUCGUGCCAGCCGCCGCGGUAACAC
rnacentral:rRNA from 1 species